AUCUAAAUAUUUAUGUUUGUAGUGAGAUACAGCAGCCUCCUCGUUACAGCAAUUUCUAUUAUGUUUUCAGGGUACUUCAGCAAGGUCAUUUGAAACAUAGCACUGCCCUGGUUGGUUCUCCCUUACUCAUGUGCUCACGUCGUUCUCAGACAGUCACCCCAUUCAGUCAGCAUACUGGGUUAGCUGGUUGAGAAGCAAAGUCAAGGAGCUUUUGUCACUAUGGUGAUCAGCUCUCUAUCUCCGAUUUCCAAGGACAAAAUAGCUCUCCAGACACUACGGAUGUCCUGUUUGGCUCGAUCAACAACAAAUCUGUGAAAUCCAUCCAGUGUCAAAUACUUCUCUUCUGGAACUGACAGCAGAAAGGAGACUUCUCUGGGUCCUUCUCAUCAGGUUUGCCCUUCUCUGGAGAUUUUGGCUUUACAGUAGGUUUUUUCUCACUUAAAGCUGUUCUGCUGUGGGACAGAAACAUUUUUUUGGUUAGA